GCCGCUGCCGGGGAGGGAGCGCUUUGAUUUUCAAUUCCUGCUGCGGGCUCGGGGCACUUUGGGCACCCUCUAAAAGAAGUAAAAGGAGCCCAUCCUUACCCUACGUUGUCACCAGCCUGAUGCUUGCUUGCCUACUGCCUGUAACACCUCCGCUUCCCUAUUCCGGCCAGACGCAAGAGACCAGGCAGGCAGGCAGGCCCGGGCCUCGCCUGCAGCUGAGUGGGCCCCCCAGAUUCAGGGAAAUGCUUGGAUGCGGCCGCUCUGGUUUGCAAAAGAGAAACCUGCUUUUUCUUACUGAGAAAAUGGAGAAAAAUGGAAAGCCCCUUUUAUCCUACCAUUGGAGGUAACAUCAACAUUUCUGUGUCAGUUCCCAUGGAUAGAUACUAUAUGCAUUUAUUCUCCAAAAAGAUCCUGCUCAACAAACUUUAGUAACCUUAUUCUUACACGUUAUUAAGCUUUAUUUUGCAUGAUAGUUCUGCGUCCCCAUUAUCGACCUGUGGUGCUCAGUGGUGUGUGUCUGUUUCUCUGUGUGUGCUAACACAGAGAAGUGCUCUGUACGUUUCAUCACUGUUCUAGCGAGUCCCGGUCGCCCAAACAGGUUAAGAAUCGCGAAUACGCCUUGGCUUUUUGGAAGGCCGCCGAACCAUCCUGUGCGCGGACCUCCAGGUCUGGGCGGGGGUACAAUUAUGUGAGCAUCUACUGUCGCGCUGAAACAUGCUCCAAGUGCCCCCUCUCUCGGCUGAGAGUUCCAAGCUUCCCCGCCUGGCCGAGUCACCUCGCCCCUGCGGGCAGAUCCGAGCCCCGACCCCCGCCAGCUGCUCCAGAGACAGGCCAGAUUUCAGAGCGCAGUUGCUGCUCCCGCAGGAGAGCCAUGGAUUCCACUUAGAGAUAAGCCAGCCUCAGUUUGUCAAGCUUCAGUCCCCGAAUUGUGCCCGUCAUCCAGGACAAGACUGAGAAGAUGCAUAGUGUUCCUUUGUGUGGAUGUUCCCAGUCCCCUAUUGAUGGAGGGGUAUUAUAUUUGUAAGCUUUGGAAUGAAAACAAAAAAGAAAGAAAGAAAAAGAAAAAGAGGAAGCCACAAAGGAAAAG